rnacentral:sRNA from 1 species
UAUCAGAACUAAUUUGCAAAUGUUGGA